rnacentral:rRNA from 1 species
GAUGAACGCUGGCGGCGUGCCUAAUACAUGCAAGUCGAGCGAACAGACGAGGAGCUUGCUCCUCUGACGUUAGCGGCGGACGGGUGAGUAACACGUGGAUAACCUACCUAUAAGACUGGGAUAACUUCGGGAAACCGGCGCUAAUAGCGGAUAAUCUAUUGAACCGCAUGGUUCAAUGGUGAAAGACGGUUUUGCUGGCACUUAUCGAUGGAUCCGCGCCGCAUUAGCUAGUUGGUAAGGUAACGGCUUACCAAGGCAACGAUGCGUAUCCGACCUGAGAGGGUGAUCGGCCACACUGGAACUGAGACACGGUCCAGACUCCUACGGGAGGCAGCAGUAGGGAAUCUUCCGCAAUGGGCGAAAGCUUGACGGAGCAACGCCGCGUGAGUGAUGAAGGUCUUCGGAUCGUAAAACUCUGUUAUGAGGGAAGAACAAAUGUGUAAGUAACUAUGCACGUCUUGACGGUACCUAAUCAGAAAGCCACGGCUAACUACGUG